rnacentral:rRNA from 1 species
AUUGAACGCUGGCGGCAGGCCUAACACAUGCAAGUCGAGCGGAGCGGCGGACGGGGGAUUAAUGACUAGGAAGCUGCCUGUUAGUGGGGGAUAACGUCCGGAAACGGGCGAUAAUGCAGCAGAAUAUCAGGUGAGCAUAGGUCGGAUUAGCUAGUUGGUGGGGUAAAGGCCUACCAAGGCGACGAUCCCUAACUGGUCUGAGAGGAUGAUCAGUCACACUGGAACUGAGACACGGCCCAGACUCCUACGGGAGGCAGCAGUGGGGAAUAUUGGACAAUGGGCGAAAGCCUGAUCCAGCCAUGCCGCGUGUGUGAAGAAGGUCUUCGGAUUGUAAAGCACUUUAAGUUGGGAGGCGGUACCUACAGAGAAAGCACCGGCUAACUUCGUGCCAGCAGCCGCGGUAAUAC